ACGGAGGAUCCAAGCGUUAUCCGGAAUCAUUGGGUUUAAAGGGUCCGUAGGCGGUUUGAUAAGUCAGUGGUGAAAGCCCAUCGCUCAACGAUGGAACGGCCAUUGAUACUGUCAGACUUGAAUUACUAGGAAGUAACUAGAAUAUGUAGUGUAGCGGUGAAAUGCUUAGAUAUUACAUGGAAUACCAAUUGCGAAGGCAGGUUACUACUAGUGGAUUGACGCUGAUGGACGAAAGCGUGGGGAGCGAACAGGAUUAGAUACCCUGGUAGUCCACGCCGUAAACGAUGGAUACUAGCUGUUGGAAGUAAUUUCAGUGGCUAAGCGAAAGUGAUAAGUAUCCCACCUGGGGAGUACGUUCGCAAGAAUG
rnacentral:rRNA from 1 species